AGUGGGGAAUAUUGCACAAUGGGCGCAAUUCUGAUGCAGCCAUGCCGCGUGUGUGAAGAAGGCCUUAGGGUUGUAAAGCACUUUCAGUCGUGAGGAAAGGUGUGUGCUUAAUACGUACAUACUGUGACGUUAGCGACAGAAGAAGGACCGGCUAACUCCGUGCCAGCAGCCGCGGUAAUACGGAGGGUCCGAGCGUUAAUCGGAAUUACUGGGCGUAAAGCGCGCGUAGGUGGAUUGGUCAGUCAGAUGUGAAAGCCCAGGGCUCAACCUUGGAACUGCAUCUGAUACUGCUAGUCUAGAAUACAGUAGAGGGUAGUGGAAUUUCCUGUGUAGCGGUGAAAUGCGUAGAUAUAGGAAGGAACACCAGUGGCGAAGGCGACUACCUGGACUGAUAUUGACACUGAGGUGCGAAAGCGUGGGGAGCAAACAGGAUUAGAUACCCUGGUAGUCCACGCCGUAAACGAUGUCUACUAGCCGUUGGAAGACUUGAUCUUUUAGUGGCGAAGCUAACGCGAUAAGUAGACCGCCUGGGGAGUACGGCCGCAAGGUUAAAACUCAAAUGAAUUGACGGGGGCCCGCACAAGCGGUGGAGCAUGUGGUUUAAUUCGACGCAACGCGAAGAACCUUACCAACUCUUGACAUCCAGAGAAGAGGCUAGAGAUAGCUUUGUGCCUUCGGGAACUCUGAGACAGGUGCUGCAUGGCUGUCGUCAGCUCGUGUUGUGAAAUGUUGGGUUAAGUCCCGUAACGAGCGCAACCCUUGUCCUUAUUUGCCAGCACGUAAUGGUGGGAACUCUAAGGAGACUGCCGGUGACAAACCGGAGGAAGGUGGGGACGACGUCAAGUCAUCAUGGCCCUUACGAGUUGGGCUACACACGUGCUACAAUGGCCGGUACAGAGGGCUGCAAACCUGCGAAGGUAAGCUAAUCUCACAAAACCGGUCGUAGUCCGGAUUGGAGUCUGCAACUCGACUCCAUGAAGUCGGAAUCGCUAGUAAUCGUGGAUCAGAAUGCCACGGUGAAUACGU
rnacentral:rRNA from 1 species